AUUGUUUUGUAGUGUUCCGCAGAAGAAGACAGGUCCUACAUUACACUGCUCGCUAUAAAAUAUGUGGAUUAUGUUGAGUAACGAUUUCUGACAGGAUCUUCCAUAUUUGGCACAUCAUCCUGUGUUAUUCCCUGCCAUGUGCCCAUACCUCCCGGGAUAAGCUCCAGACCCCUGCGACCCUGCAUAGGACAAGAAGGUGACUCUAGACUUCUCCCAGUGGGUGCAAGAGGAAAGAACCCAGCCAAGCCCUGGAGACCCUGUCCAGGACAAGCAGUUUGGAAAAUGCAUGAGUGGACGAGAAUAUUGUACCUUUAUAUUGGGAGAAAGGAAAAAAAAGUUUUUUCUUAUGUGGAGAAAUCAGAUGGAUGCAUUAUGCCAAUGAGCAGGUGUAUAUCCUGUAAUCUUAUAAAUGCACAUGGAGCUCACUAUAUAUAGUCAUGACAGUCAUAAGUUCAUUAAAUUACUAAUGUAAUUAUGUUUUCCCGCCAUGUAAAAUGUUCUGGUGAUGGACUUUCAAAAAUUCCUAGAAGUGGACAGACAGGACUGAUAUCUCGGCUUGAUGCCCAGCAGUAUCUGAGUGAUUUCUGGAGUAACCAUCAGGUAGAUUACUUUGGCCCAAUGAAAAGCGUGAUCGCUUUUAUUAAAUUUAGGUAAGAGGAUAGUUUAUGGCCUAUAUUUGCCCUUCUCUCCUCUCAGGAAAACUAUGAGGAAUAAUCAGGUGCAGACAUACUGUACGACAAAUGUAGACAGCUGCCUGGGACCCCCGAAAUCUAGAGGCCCCAGGAAGACAGAAUUUCUGGAAGUUACAUUUAUCGAUAUAAGAUAAUAUAAUUAUUUCAAUUACAGCAAUGUGUCUGUUAUUUCCAUUUUUACAACAGUUUUCGGGACAGAUGCAGUUGCCCCUGUGCUGGCUGUAAUGGACUGUUCCUACGUUGAGACUUUCCAGUACCCAGCUUUCAUUUCCUGUCUAUGCGCCAAGUAGCUUAAUAGAAGAAAACGGUGCAAAGAUACAAGACUAACAUUACAUCUCCCGUGUCUUUGAUACUGUCCCGCUAGAUACACAUCGAUAUGACACAAGCCACACUUUCAGGUGUAACUUUUCAAUAUAAUUAAACUUUAUUGAGCUUAAUACGUUCAAAUAUCAUUUUCAUCUGACCAUUAGGGGGAGCAAUUGCACCCUCAGUUUAACAUCUAUGGUAAAAUCACGAUUCUGUUUCGCGUGCGAAAUGACAGUAUAGUGACUUGCCUUGACUACACUUGAUGAUCAGAGGUGGCUUUUUUUCCUCAUCUAAAUAGAUCUGAAGUGUGAGAAUGUAAACAUGGCUUCUGACAUGUGAUGCCACUAUUAAAACCUCGAUAAGCAAGUUCAAAAAAGUACAAGCGCCUCUGCGUGAAAUUGUGUGUCACUGGUAUCACUUUAGGUAGCAGCAUUUACAAAAUGGAAGGACAAUAGUAGUUUGAUAAGCACUGGGUAUGAAAGAAACUUUAAGGUGACUUUCAGGUUGUUUUUUUUUGUUAUUAUUAAAUUUUGAUAUUGUUUUGUUCAGAAAUUUUUACAUUUGUGCAACAAUGUUAAGAAAAAAAAUCGGUUAAUCUGAAAACCGAGGAGAACCCUUAAGAAAGAGGCUUGGCAAGAUAGCAAAAAUGCAUCCAGACUGGAAAGGUCAGCUCACUGGUGGCAUGUGAUGCAUCUGCUGACUUCCAAACGCGAGGAUGCCAUGAUGUUUACAGAUAGAGCUGUAUCACGGACACAUUAUAAAUGCCUUCAAAUUAUAUCAAAUUGCUGAGGGAUAUCAAGGAAGUCCAUAAUUAUACCAGCAGUUAAGAUCACAUGUGCAAUGGGAAUUUAACUAAACAUGUAGUUUAAUCCGUACUUAUUUGAAUAUGUAUGAUGCCUUUUAAUGCUUUUUCUUAAAUUUGCAUACAAAGUUUCAAUUGAAUUUGUCAACUUUUUUUCUGGAUUA